GUAUUGGUCAAAUGGGGAGCUCUUACUUCUUGGAGAGAACACAUGUAUUAGUCAGGUCCUGGCCAUGUUGGAAAACUGGCUGAUUACAACGUACAGGACACAACAACAUUGCUCAGAGUUGUUGAUUGCAACAGAUAUUCAACCACGGCCUUGUUUCAUCUAGGAAAGGGGGUCUUUUAGAGGUUACAUCUGGAUUUUUCUUUUCGUAGCUCAGUUUUUUGGUGAAUCUAUGUUGAGUGCCUCUAUUGGUUUCUUUAUUCCUUAGGGAAAGCAAGAUUCAUGGAGCCCGUAUGGACAAGGGCUGAAAGACAUGAAUUCAAACCUGGAUUUGAUCUCAGAAUUUCUCGAUUGUUUCUACAAACACUCUUCAACUUUCACAACCAAGGAGGUGAUUCACAUUAUUCAUUAUUAGUUUUGGACAGAGUUACAAUGGACUGGCCAUUGAAAGUUUUAGUUGUGCAUGGCACUUUAAUAGUUCCAGUCCCUGCAUGCUGGAAGUAGAUCAGGCCAUCAAAUCAAGUGGUUCUAUGAGGUUCGUCUUUCUCCCAAACAUGAUACAUGUUGUAGGGAACUGGACCAAUGCACAAGGUGGGCUUCACCAUGACGAUCACCUGGAAAUAAAAUCAAGCCAGUCCGCUCUUUGAGUAGGCCCCACAACCAAAAUCAACGGACGACACU